rnacentral:rRNA from 1 species
GGAUCAAUAUAUCGGUCGUGCCUUGGUACGUACUGGUAUCAUUGGUUUCUCCUUUCUGACGAACCAUGAUGUCAUUAAUUUGGUGUUAUGGGAAGUUAGGACUGUUACUUUGAAAAAAUUAGAGUGUUUAAAGCAGGCAUUAGCUUGAAUACAUUAGCAUGGAAUAAUGAAAUAGGACGUUCGAACCUAUUUUGUUGGUUUCUAGGAUCAACGUAAUGAU